rnacentral:rRNA from 1 species
GACGAACGCUGGCGGCGUGCCUAAUACAUGCAAGUAGAACGCACAGUUUAUACCGUAGCUUGCUACACCAUAGACUGUGAGUUGCGAACGGGUGAGUAACGCGUAGGUAACCUGCCUGGUAGCGGGGGAUAACUAUUGGAAACGAUAGCUAAUACCGCAUAAUAUUGAUUAUUGCAUGAUAAUUGAUUGAAAGAUGCUAUUGCAUCACUACCAGAUGGACCUGCGUUGUAUUAGCUAGUAGGUGAGGUAACGGCUCACCUAGGCGACGAUACAUAGCCGACCUGAGAGGGUGAUCGGCCACACUGGGACUGAGACACGGCCCAGACUCCUACGGGAGGCAGCAGUAGGGAAUCUUCGGCAAUGGACGAAAGUCUGACCGAGCAACGCCGCGUGAGUGAAGAAGGGUUUCGGAUCGUAAAGCUCUGUUGUAAGAGAAGAACGGGGGUGAGAGUGGAAAGUUCACACUGUGACGGUAUCUGACCAGAAAGAGACGGCUAACUACGUG